rnacentral:rRNA from 1 species
UACGUAGGGGGCAAGCGUUGUCCGGAUUUAUUGGGCGUAAAGAGCGUGUAGGCGGCUUGGUAGGUCCGCUGUGAAAACUCGAGGCUCAACCUCGAGAUGUCGGCGGAAACCACUUGGCUAGAGUCCGGAAGAGGAGAGUGGAAUUCCGUGGUGUAGCGGUGAAAUGCGCAGAUAUCGGGAAGAACACCCGUGGCGAAGGCGGUUCUCUGGGACGGUACUGACGCUGAGACGCGAAAGCGUGGGGAGC